rnacentral:rRNA from 1 species
UACGAAGGGGGGCUAGCGUUGUUCGGAAUUACUGGGCGUAAAGCGCACGUAGGCGGAUAUUUAAGUCAGGGGUGAAAUCCCGGAGCUCAACUCCGGAACUGCCUUUGAUACUGGGUACCUUGAGUAUGGAAGAGGUAAGUGGAAUUGCGAGUGUAGAGGUGAAAUUCGUAGAUAUUCGCAGGAACACCAGUGGCGAAGGCGGCUUACUGGUCCAUUACUGACGCUGAGGUGCGAAAGCGUGGGGAGCAAACAGG